GGGAAUGUGGCUUAGUAGUAGAGCGCUUUCCUAGGCUGCAUGAAGCCCUGGGUUUGAUUCCUCAUUCCCA
rnacentral:tRNA from 1 species